AUGCCUUAAAGACAUAAGAGACUUCUUUCCAAAAAAAUAAUAAAAAAUUAUAUUACCAGCGUCCAAAAUUUUGGAACAGUAGUGUAUGUUUUGAAAUGUGUCAUCUUUGCUAUGAGUGCAGUUUUGCACAAGUUUUUUGAGCCAAUCACCAAGUCUUUCACUAGAGUCCAUCCUGAGCUGUGUCGUUGAAGGCAGCAGACUGGGGAAAAUGCAAGUCUAUUUCAUGCUUUUAAGAUCCUCCAAAAAUGAACAGGGCACUGCUAAAACAUCUACUGUGAUAUUGUACUAAAGUACUUUUGAUUUAUAUAUUGCUUACAAAAACAUUUGGCUUUUAAUAGAGUGCUAGAAUGAUGACAAUUUUGUAGGCCAACCAGGAAGUUAGCAUAGCUUUCAGGAAGUUACCAUUGGUUUUUGGAUUAUUGCCGAAGAUAAGCUUUGUGACCAACAAAAGUUCAUGAAACAUACACAUUUUGUUAAUCGAGAAUAUCUAGAUUAUCCACAAGAUCAAGUUUAAGAUCCAAGAUUAUCCACAAGAUCCGGAAGUAAAAAGCUAAAGUUAGGCUAUAAACAAACUACACCACACUCACAUGACUUCAACAUCACUAUCAUUAAGUUUUUGACAACUCUUUAUGUAAAAUCUACAAAUUAGAAAUCUGAGUUUGAAUAGUUUGCAAGAGCGUGAGUAUAAACACAAAGAAGCUGUAAAACCAGACUAGUGAGAGGAUGAGUUUUCCUGUUCGGCAUGAUGAUUUCUAAUGUCCCUGACAAACUGGUUUGGGGAAAAAAUAACGCAAUUAGCAUGUCACGCAUCAAUUUCAUUUUGAAAGUGUCCAGACAAAUUACUUCCUGGAGGCUUGAUGUGUCACGCCUGGUUAGGAAACCGUGUUAGUUACCACAGUUGCACUGUUCUAUCCAGCCACUAGUGCAACAAGACAUUUCAAUGGUCAUGUGGUUUGUAAUUCCAUAUUGUCGUGCUGGUAAGCCCCACACACAUCAAAAUCUCAUUGGUCAAAUUUUGCUACACAGAGCUGAAUAUUAAACUUCAAACAUUUUCUGAUUGACCAAGAUUGCAUAGUAUUUUUGCUUUAAGAGUGGACCGACAAAAUACAGCCACUGGAAACUGGACAUGUCAUAUUGGGUUAGGACACAGUGUUAGAGUUAAUACAAAACAGAAAGAAAGAAACUGCUGUGGCUGUUGUUUAAUGGCUCAUCUAGAGUCUUUAAUGGAGGAGAGCUAUAUACUGAGCACAUGACAUCAGCCCUUCAAGGCAGAUUGCUUUCAUGUACUGUUUUUCUAGGUCUGCUCCCCUUGCAGACAGUGAGAGGGAGACAGAAAAAAAAGCAGAAAGAGAGACAGAGAGAAUAUACUGAAGACAUCUCUACACGGCAAGCCUGUCAGGGAGGACAAACCUGCUGGUUACACUGGGAUGGUGUACUGCCGGGUUUCCUGUCAUGCACUCCUGUCAAAAAAUACCAAAUACACAAUCGCUCACACACACUUUCUCAGGAAAGAAAGUGUUUACUGCACAAACUGUUCAAUGGCUCAACAUGCACGCUUGAAACCCGCUGCCAUCUCUCAGACUAGGAGUAACGCCACAUUCUCUGAGCCUGGUUUUUCUUUUCCGACUGUCACCACACCAGGCGCUCACCAACCCACGUACCACCCAAGACUCAUCCCACGUAAAUGAUCUUUCCUCCAUUUUAAGUCUUCAUUAUCAUGCUUUCCACUCUACUUCCACACCGACAGCAUCUCUUGUGUCUUCUUUUACUUAGAGGGGAAUUCUGGGCCUUCAUUUUAAAGCUGGUGCAUCGUCUUCAAAGGCCAACAGGAUUAAGUUUCUGGAAAAGCCUGAGUCCUAAUGGAGGCUGUAGACCAUAUAGUCGGAAACAGUUACCAGUAAAAUAAUGAAAGCUUGAUCUGUAAAUGCUUUAGGCGUCGAUAAAGUGCUGAUGUUGCUGAGACUUAAUCACACACGCACACUCGUUCCAUACUCCCAUCAACCUGUCUCCUGCUUUCCAGCCUUUACUGGAAGAACUGACCAGAGAUGGUCAAUUGAACUGAAAAUCACGUCAGCAUUGAUCGAGUCUCAAAGCUUAAGUGCAACUCAGGAGAGGAUUCAGCUCAGAGGAACAUGCGAGAAGAUGUACUCACUCGACACCCACUUUUAUUUUUUCCAAAUUAUUUCCAGCCAGUUUUAUUUUUUCCAAAUUAUUUCCCAGAAUUUAUGAUCUGGUCCUUAACUGGUGUAUCAAUUAUAGAUAUGAGCUACAUUUAGAACUUUAAACUACAUAUAGACAAAAUAAUAUUUAUGUAAAUAUUUUAUGUAAAAGUGUGUCAAAUAGCACUGGUCUCCAUUAGCUCUUCAUAAAUGAUCCCCUCCCACAAUCACAAUGACACACACACAAACACAACAAACACAUACACACACCCCACCCCUGGCUAAGACUUUUGUGUUUGACCUGAUCUCAAGUCACACUUCUUGAAGACACCAGCAGCUACAGACUGAAACAUUUGUAAGCUUGCACAGUUCUGGGAAGAAUCCACUUCAACAAAUGCACAAACCAGGUAAGAUUGAUUAUUUAUAUUGUGUAAAACUAAUAUAUUUAAUGUCAAAACUAUAUUUAUACUAUAUGUCAUUUUUCUCAGAUAAUGUGUUCUCUUUCCUACAGUAUCCUACACACAAGGCUGGGUCAACUCAUCUUCAGAGAAUAUAAAUGGUAUCCUGCAGGAAUUAUGAUGAGGUUAUGAGAAAGAAGUUUUCAUAGUUUUGCUCCGGAAAAGCCCAGCUGAAACACUCAAUCAGCCAAAGAGAGACAACAUUGCUGGAGACAAGGUCAACCGAGACAAACACAGAAAGAGCACUGCGGAGGACAGAAAUGGUGGAGCUCAGUGUAAGAUGAGGAAGAUACUGUAGUUGAUGUGGAUGCACACAGGAUCUACAGUGAGGAAUGGAGUCUGCUGGGACACUUAAUUUCAUGUGUUAUUUACUGCAUUUGUUUGAAAUCUUUCAUUCAAAGUAGAUGUUGUAUUUUGAAAUGUUGUUUUCUGUUGAAAUUGUUUUAUGACUUUUUAUGUUUUGGAUUCUAUUUACUAUUUUCCCCUAAUAAAGACAAACAAUCAAUCUGCCCUCCUGGUCAGCAACCAAUCACAUCAUUCACCUGUAAGGUUUUUGGGAGGGAUGUAUUCUAAAUGUAACCAAUAAAGUUAUGACUUUUGAGGAAAGUCUGUGUGCUCAGUGGCCCAAUAGCUGUCUGGUUUAGGAGUGGGUUUAGUUUCAGAUCAACCAAUCCAGUUUAACAUGAAUGACCAAAAGGGGAGAGCACAGUGCCACGAAGGUCAAGUAAUCCUUCAUUUAGAGGAUUAUUUGGCAUGGCAACAAAUGGCUGUUGCAUGGAAAAAUACCUAAUUAAUAUACAUCUGAAUUUGUACAUAUCUGGAAGAAUACGAACCUAUGGUAUUCUGGUAAUUCAUGGUAAUCUGCGGUGUGUACUGGAGUUUACUGGUCCAAAACUACAAACUACAAAUAAACUGCAAAUUCAAAAAUUAUAAUUAUAUAUUUUCACCAGUAAUUUUGCUGUUAAAUAUGAUCAUUUAAAAAGUAACUUGAAAUAAUAUGGACUAGUAGCAUCAACAAAAGUGUAUACCAUCUAUUAUUACAUGGCUUUGUGGAAUACUUGAUUCUGAUUGGUCAGUCGCAACAUUCCGAAGCAUGUUAUCCGUCAAUAACAAUCGGUAAAAGCUGAUAAUACAGGCUCAUCCGGGCAACUGAAGUCAGCACUAUACUCUUGCUAGGAACAGUUUUUCUUCAUGGAAGCUUUGUGUUUGGUUAGCUAAUAAAAUAUUAAAACUCGAUUCAAUAUUGUGUGUACAGUUAUUUAAUUAUGUCAUCCUGGUGUAGUGGACUCUUGUAAGAUUAUAAAACAGUUUUUUCUUAAAUCAAUAUCUUUUAUCGACAUCAUUAUUUAUGUGGUGGAAUGGUGUGUAAUAAGUGGUAUGACUGUCCUUUAAAUGUCUGUCUAGUUUGAACUUGCAGCUUGCUAGCAACUGCUUUCUUCACUGAACCUUUUUCGUUCAGAUAUUUCAACUCAAAUCAAUAUUUUGUGUCUAAUUAUUUACUUAUGUGGCAAGUAGCUGUGUAAUAAGUGGGAUAAUGUACAUCCAGCCAGUUUCUAUCACAGAAUAACCCCAUUCAGAGUGAUGCAAGACCCCGACACAAAGCAGAGGGGUCUCGCAUCACUCAGUCGGGGGUAAUUCUGUGAUCGCAAUCGGAUGGAUGUACAUUACCCCUUACCUAACAACCUCGCAGCUCACAGUAGGUCUGUCUUUAAAGGUUUGUAAGUUACUGUUAGAAAAUCUAUACCCCUAUGGACAAAAUGAAUCAGAUUUUUACUACUGGAAACCAACUGUUGUACUAUUUAUUUAAUUUUAAUUACAUAUAUACAUAUAGAGCUAGUGUUUCUGUGUUGGGCUGGUCUGGAUAGUCAAGCAAAUCCUCAUGCUUCAGAAUUUUAGCUCAAAUAAACUGCUCAUUUUAAAUACUCAUUUUUUCAAACUAUAUAGUAUUGGACUUUGCAGGAAAAUCAACCCACUACUUUUACAUUUCUCUGCAAUAUUAACUUGGGUUAGGAAAAAUUAAUUCUACACUGAAAACAUGAAACUUUCAUUUUAAAUGUAAUUGUGAAUGUUUAUAUGUGAUAUGUGAAAAAAUAAAGUAAAAAAAAAAAUCAGGUGAAUAGCAUUUGAAGUGAGUUCUGAGAAUAGAGUUGUGCUGUAUAUAUGUGCAUUGUGUUUGUUGGGCAGACUGGGUGAGAAUGUGUGUGUGUGUGUGUGUGUGUGUGUGUGUGUGU